CGCUGUGGUUGAAUGCCAACAGAGGUAAUAGGAUUGAGAAUAGAGAAGGAUAACCAACAAUUUGAAGAAAGGGAGAGACGGAAAGUAAAGAGCGAGACGACUCAUCCCUGCUUCAUCUCAUCCCCCGUGGUGUUGUUUUGCUCUGUGAGCAAGUUGGUUCGAAGAAUGGCGAUCCACUUCUCAAAACCUGCAGCUGUUAGUGGGUAGUAAUAGCUCAUUUGGUUUGUGCUUAAGCUGCUUUCGUUUGCUUUUGAUUAAAGGGAUUAUGUCUCCAACUCCGGCUGCUCUUUCUGAAUAGCAUUGAAAUCUAAGAAGUAAGCAAAUGGAAAGCUACCUCCAACUGCCACAAUCUCAGGUGCAUGCCCCCUGUUCUGUAAGCCUCUUGAAUCUUUCUCCUAGCUUUUGACAUGACUAAUGGUUUGUUUCUCCAUUUACUUUCAUGGGUUACAGUAGGAUAUGCAGCAGUCAUAGAGAGGCCUUGAAGCAAAUUACAUGAAUCUGAAACGUCUGGUAAUCAUCGUAAUUAGUCGACUGUGAUAUACUGAAAACAGCUGGGAUUGAAUGUUACAGCUGGUAGAAGAAAAUUGGGCGAGAAAGGUGGAAUCUUUUGUAUGCACUGAUGCUGCAGGAGUUGAUAUGGUAUUUGAUUUAGAUGCUUGGUUCAUGAGUUCCUUAGUCAUGUUACAUGAUAAUAACCCAUGAAAGAAAUAACACAUUUCUUUGUGAUUACUGGAAAAGAGGGAAAAUUGUGAGGCAUUAGCUAUAAUUAUAUUGAGCUUAACUAGUUUUUUCUUGGUUUAUGUUCAGUAUAUAAAUUGGCAAGGUCCUCAAUUUUAUACUUGAUUCCCCAUGCUAACAAAAAGUUCAAGGCUUGAUUGUUCAUAUGUGAGAAGACAAAUAUAUUGAUUGGAUGAUAUUAAUCACAUCAACUGACCGAUCUUUCGUUACUUACAGGCUGGAAUUGUCAUGUUGGAAAUGCUUACGAACACGAUAGAGAACGGAGCAACAGUUAUCGGGUCCGAUAGUCUGGCCUGAACAGGUUCCAACUGAGGUAUAGUUCCGGUAGAAGUAUCCAUAGCUAAUACUUUCCCGUUCAAAAGUACAGUCUGGCUGUGUAAAUCGCCACCGUUAGCAGUUAAAUGAUAUUCCUUUCUUGAAGUUGCAUCGACCUUGGAACCCGAUCUCCUCAUCUUUGCAAAUUUUGUUCUUCGAUUGUGGUAGCGUUUGACUGUCUGAACAGCGGUGGCAUCUUCAUUCGAGACACGAACGCUAACUGUAGUAUUGCCAUCAAGAUUUAUCAACAGUAAUGUGAUUCCUUGCUGCAUUUUCAGUAUAUUAGUCGACUUGACAUGAAUAUAUCCAUCAUUUUGUUAGUUUCAGUUGUUGACUUUACUUACAUAUGUCUUUGAACAGUGAGCAUAAGCGCGUAUCUUUUUGGUUCCGGAGAAACUCGCGGGGAGCACAGUUCUUCCCAUCAAACGGUGCCACAAGAGUGCACUAGUCAACAUAGGGCAAAACAUAAGAGUUAACUAGAGGAAAAGCUGAUAUUAGAGGAGGAUUAUAACAUACUAAAGGUCUCCAGUCCUUUUACUUUUCUUAUUGCAUGGUUGCAGCUGAAGCUCACCUGUAGUAGUCUGGGUUCGGAACGAAGGUGGUCGUGUCGAGAAGGCCGUAAUUGCCUCCGACUAAUGACUGCCGACAGUAAGUUUUGGUGUCGUAAGAUGCUGCCAUUCCUAACUGGUCCAAGUACCUGUUAGGAAUGACAAUAUCAACAGAUCGAAUAAAAGAGCAGUACAAAGUUCGAAAGGAAAACGACUUGG
rnacentral:lncRNA from 1 species